AUCGAACCCGGAGAUAGCUGGUUCUCCUCGAAAUAGCUUUAGGGCUAGCCUCGAUUUAGUCUUAUGGAGGUAGAGCACUGAAUUUCCGCGGGGGCGUCAAAGCUUACCAAAGAAUAUCAAACUCCGAAUGCCAUGUAGAUGAUGAUCGGGAGUCAGACUGCACGAGAUAAGUUGGGCAGUCAAAAGGGAAAGAGCCCAGACCACCGGCUAAGGUCCCAAAGUGCGUGUUAAGUGGAAAAGGAUGUGGGAAUUCGAAGACAACUAGGAUGUUGGCUCAGAAGCAGCCAUACAUUCAAAGAGUGCGUAACAGCUCACUAGUCGAGAGUUCCUGCGCCGAAAAUGUCCGGGGCUGAAACACGACACCGAAGCCGUGGACUCGCAAUGCGAGUGGUAGAGGAGCAUUCUUAAAACCGACGAAGCUGUACCGAAAGGAGCAGUGGAGGGAUAAGAAGAGAGAAUGCCGGAAUGAGUAGCGAGAGAAAGGUGGGAAUCCUUUCGGCCGAAUAUCUAAGGUUUCCAGAGUAAAGCUGAUCUGCUCUGGGUAAGUCGGGGCCUAAGCACAGGUCGCAAGACGUAAGCGAUGGAUAACAGGUUUAGAUUCCUGUACCACGCAUUAUCAGAACUGUAGGGACGCAUGUGGAAAGCACGGGCCGGGAAUGGAAAGACCGGUACAAGCGAGGUAGGUGUACAAUAGGCAAAUCCGUUGUAUAAUCCGAAGACGUGAUGUGGAGCGAAAUAAAGUAGUGAAGCGUGUGAGCCAUGUGCCGAGAAAAGCUGCUAUUGUGUAAUGCGUGCCCGUACCGUAAACCGACACAGGUGGAUGAGGAGAGAAUCCUAAGGCCGGCGGAAGAAGCAUUGUUAAGGAAUUCGGCAAAAUGACCCCGUAACUUCGGGAGAAGGGGUGCCUGCGAGAGCAGGCCGCAGAGAAUAGGCUCAAGCAACUGUUUAGCAAAAACACAGGUCUAUGCGAAACCGAAAGGUGAGGUAUAUGGGCUGACGCCUGCCCGGUGCUGGAAGGUUAAGAGGAGAGGUUAGCGGUAACGCGAAGCUUUGAAUUUAAGCCCCAGUAAACGGCGGCCGUAACUAUAACGGUCCUAAGGUAGCGAAAUUCCUUGUCGGGUAAGUUCCGACCCGCACGAAAGGCGUAAUGAUUUGAGCACUGUCUCGACAAUGCAUCCGGUGAAAUUGAAGUACCAGUGAAGAUGCUGGUUACCCGCGCCAGGACGGAAAGACCCCAUGGAGCUUUACUCCAGUUUGAUACUGGGAUUCGGUACUGCAUGUACAGGAUAGGUGGGAGACGAAGAAGGAUGGACGCCAGUCUGUCCGGAGUCGCUGUUGGGAUACCACCCCUGUAGUACUGGGUUUCUAACCAGUUGCCAUGAACUGGCAAUGGGACAAUGUCAGGCGGGGAGUUUGACUGGGGCGGUCGCCUCCGAAAGGGUAUCGGAGGCGCUCAAAGGUUCCCUCAGAAUGGUUGGAAACCAUUUGAAGAGUGCAAAGGCAGAAGGGAGCUUGACUGCGACACCGACGGGUGGAGCAGGUACGAAAGUAGGGCUUAGUGAUCCGGUGGUAUUAAGUGGGAAUGCCAUCGCUCAACGGAUAAAAGCUACCCUGGGGAUAACAGGCUUAUCUCCCCCAAGAGUCCACAUCGACGGGGAGGUUUGGCACCUCGAUGUCGGCUCAUCGCAUCCUGGGGCUGAAUUCGGUCCCAAGGGUUUGGCUGUUCGCCAAUUAAAGCGGUACGCGAGCUGGGUUCAGAACGUCGUGAGACAGUUCGGUCCCUAUCCGGCGCGGGCGGAGGAUAUUUGAGAGGAGCUGUCCUUAGUACGAGAGGACCGGGAUGGACGGACCACUGGUGUAUCUGUUGUCGACCAACGGCAUGGCAGAGUAGCCAAGUCUGGAAGGGAUAAACGCUGAAGGCAUCUAAGCGUGAAGCCCCCCUCAAGAUGAGAUAUCCCUCCUUCGGGAGUAAGACCCCUUGAAGACUACAAGGUAGAUAGGGCAGAGGUGGAAGCAUGGCAACAUGUGGAGCUGACUGUUACUAAUAGGUCGAGGGCUUAAUCU
rnacentral:rRNA from 1 species